UAUUGGGUAGGGGAGCGUUGUGUAAGCUGUUGAAGGUGUGCUGAGAGGCAUGCUGGAGGUAUCACAAGUGCGAAUGCUGACAUGAGUAACGAUAAAGGGGGUGAAAAACCUCCUCGCCGGAAGACCAAGGGUUCCUGUCCAACGUUAAUCGGGGCAGGGUAAGUCGGCCCCUAAGGCGAGGCCGAAAGGCGUAGUCGAUGGGAAACGGGUUAAUAUUCCCGUACUGCUGCUUACUGCGAUGGGGGGACGGAGAAGGCUAGGUGGGCCUGGCGAUGGUUGUCCAGGUUCAAGUGCGUAGGCUGAUUUCUUAGGCAAAUCCGGGAAAUCAAGGCCGAGACACGAUGUCGAGCCACCAAGGUGGUGAAGUCAUUGAUGCCAUGCUUCCGGGAAAAGCCUCUAAGCUUCAGGUAAGUAGCAACCGUACUCCAAACCGACACAGGUGGUCGGGUAGAGAAUACCAAGGCGCUUGAGAGAACUCGGGUGAAGGAACUAGGCAAAAUGGUACCGUAACUUCGGGAGAAGGUACGCUGCCCGCGGUGAAGUCCCUUGCGGAUGGAGCUAUGGGCAGUCGCAGAUACCAGGUGGCUGCAACUGUUUAUUAAAAACACAGCACUGUGCAAAAUCGAAAGAUGACGUAUACGGUGUGACGCCUGCCCGGUGCCGGAAGGUUAAUUGAUGUGGUUAUCGCAAGAGAAGCCAUUGAUUGAAGCCCCGGUAAACGGCGGCCGUAACUAUAACGGUCCUAAGGUAGCGAAAUUCCUUGUCGGGUAAGUUCCGACCUGCACGAAUGGCGUAAUGAUGGCCACGCUGUCUCCACCCGAGACUCAGUGAAAUUGAAAUCGCAGUGAAGAUGCUGUGUACCCGCGGCUAGACGGAAAGACCCCGUGAACCUUUACUACAGCUUGGCACUGAACAUUGAGCCUACAUGUGUAGGAUAGGUGGGAGGCUUUGAAGCGGCGACGCCAGUUGCUGUGGAGCCAUCCUUGAAAUACCACCCUUGUAUGUUUGAUGUUCUAACUUAGCCCCGUUAUCCGGGGUGAGGACAGUGCCUGGUGGGUAGUUUGACUGGGGCGGUCUCCUCCCAAAGUGUAACGGAGGAGCACGAAGGUGGGCUAAUCACGGUCGGACAUCGUGAGGUUAGUGCAAUGGCAUAAGCCCGCUUAACUGCGAGAGUGACGGCUCGAGCAGGUACGAAAGUAGGUCAUAGUGAUCCGGUGGUUCUGAAUGGAAGGGCCAUCGCUCAACGGAUAAAAGGUACUCCGGGGAUAACAGGCUGAUACCGCCCAAGAGUUCAUAUCGACGGCGGUGUUUGGCACCUCGAUGUCGGCUCAUCACAUCCUGGGGCUGAAGUCGGUCCCAAGGGUAUGGCUGUUCGCCAUUUAAAGUGGUACGCGAGCUGGGUUUAGAACGUCGUGAGACAGUUCGGUCCCUAUCUGCCGUGGGCGUUGGAUGAUUGAGGGGAGCUGCUCCUAGUACGAGAGGACCGGAGUGGACGAACCGCUGGUGUUCGGGUUGUGUCGCCAGACGCAUUGCCCGGUAGCUAAGUUCGGCACAGAUAAGCGCUGAAAGCAUCUAAGCGCGAAGCUGGCCCCGAGAUGAGUCAUCCCUAGAGCCUCGAGCUCUCUAAAGGGUUGU
rnacentral:rRNA from 1 species